rnacentral:rRNA from 1 species
GCGCACGGGUGAGUAAUAUGUAGGAAUCUUCCUAUGGGCGGGGGAUAACCCGAGGAAACUCGGACUAAUACCGCAUAAUCUCUAAGGAGUAAAGGCCGCCGCCUUCGGGCAGCGGUCGCCGAUAGAUGAGCCUACAUCGGAUUAGCUUGUUGGUGGGGUAAAGGCCCACCAAGGCGACGAUCCGUAGCUGGUCUGAGAGGACGGUCAGCCACACUGGGACUGAGACACGGCCCAGACUCC